GGGAAUACUAAAUAGCUCUGUUCCAAGCUUGGCAUUUGGCAUUAAUGUGAAGCAGUGGAACCAUGCUGCCUGCUAAACUACUGUAUGAAUUGUAAGUGUUCUGAAGACCAGCAGCUGGAGGCUGGAGGACAGCAUCCACACAAGGAGGAGAAGCACCACCGCUGCGUCGGGGACAAGGAAGGAAAUCGGGGUGGCCUGGAGUCGUCGUUCGCGAAGGGAAUGUUGGGGUGUACAUGAUGUUGUUGAGGAGAUUCACUUUGAUUGCACUGCUCCACAGAGCCCUCAUAUAAGGCCAAUCCCAAUGGGCUACCUCGGCUUUCAAAGUUACUUUCAAUAAGUCCUUGUUUUGCACCUUAUACAAAGUGUACUAAUUGUUAAUUAGAUGUUGCUUUUGUCUAUACAAGCAUUCCCAAAGAAUUAGAUUUAAUUUUGUUGUAUUUGAAUUUGAGGAUUUUUAAAAACGACUUUAUUUAGGUUGACUAACAGCAUAUGUAUAAUGAAAAAAGAGGCAGUUUUUCAUUUCAUCUUACCAGAUGUGAAGUAUUCAGGGUCUGAUGGACUGCUUUUCUUUAAUUUGGAAAUGAUCAAGUUUAUUGUAGUCCAUAUUAAAUGGCUUUGUCCUUUUCAUGGCAGAUAUUAUCUUGGUACCUUUCAGAACAAAGAACAAGUGUGAAUAACAAGACAUAGGCAUUUGAUUUAUAUAUCCCCGCCUGUCUGUAUUAUGCUUUCCUUCAAUAUAUAUUCAUAUUCUUUUUUAAUAUCUUUUUCUGGCCAAAUUUUAUCUCUAGUGGUGUGAUUUACACUACUAAGUUGAGAGAAGGAACCUUGUAGUUAAAAGUUCUGUGGCCACUGGUUUUCUUGGUUGUGUUUUGUCAAUCAGUGGUCAAAACUGAUCAUACCCUGAAACUGAUUUUUAUACGCACAACUAGUUAUCCUGAACAUUACUCCUCCUUCCAAAGAUAUCCUGAUAACUUGGACCGGAACUGGUUACUGAGUAACAAGGAUCUAAUUGAAUGCCUCUAAACCCUUCCACCCGCAAUGCAAAUCUUACCUCACAAGCUCUAAACUAAAUCACAGAGAUAAGUGUGUUUCAUGAACUAUCACUGAUUCUCUUUGUGGCCCACUAGGGGUGGGCUCAGGUCCCCUCACAUUAGUGCCUCGGCCUAAAGAGCAGCAGAACCGAGGGUAGGGGAAAGGUUUGCCAUCUAGAGCUCAGUAACUUGCUUGGCAACAUUUUUUUUUUUUCAUUUCACUAUAAACAAGUCUCUUGCUCUCAGGAAUUUGUCAAAAAAAAAAAAGCAAACAAAAAACACCUGAGAUUCCACACACUAGAUUUUGAACUUUUCUCAUAGGUUUGAAUUGCUUACUCAAAUGUCAUAAAUUAACCAUAGUUUUAUUUGACCACCAGGUCUUAAUUCUGUUGACAGUUUCAGCAUGACUGAAUCACUCUUUUUUUUUUUUUCUUUCGGAAAUUGGCUUGGUUCUCUUUAGAGUUGGUGUAAACAUGCCAUGUAGUAAAUGAUUUCCACUUAAUGGUACAACAGAAUAUUACUUUCUUAGAUGUAUGUGUAGUAAAAGUCAAUAUACACAUUUAUAUCAUUUAUUUCUUCAAAAUCUUAUACCUUAUUUGAUAUUUCUAAAAAUUGCACAUGUAAGUCAUGUGUAUAACAUGCUAAAGUACUUUAACUGUGAUCUUAAAACUGAAUAAAAAUAUUUAAUAA
rnacentral:lncRNA from 1 species